GGUGAGGCUGAGCCUUCCCAAGCAGUUAGCGGGUCACCACCUCCUGGGGCCGAGGGGUGCCCUGCACGCCCCACCAUCACCCUGUCUGUUCCCGAGCCCUGAAGACGCGUGAGGCUCUGGGCUGUGCGGUGUGCCACGGACGGUGUGCUUUCCACGUUCACUCCUUCUGACCCACGUGCUGUCAGAGAGCUUUCUGGAGGCAGGGGGCGUCUGGACUUCAUUCUGCCACAGGGAACGGAUUCUGCUGGAGUUAGCAAACAUACGUCAUUGUUUUGGUCUUUUAAAAUUCAUCGUGACUCAUGUUGUGGCUUAUGCCGUGGUCUGUGCUGCAGAACGCCACGCGGGUGGGCUGUUCUGCACACACGUGGGUUCCGUGGAGUGAGCGUGCUCACCGCUCCCCCUGCAUCCGUGGUGAUGGGUCAUCCCGGCCGUCUACCUCUGAGGGAGAAUGUAAACCUCCACUUUUCAGGGCACCCGGGGGGCUCAGGCGGUUAAGCAGCAGAUGCUUGGGUUUCGGCUCAGGUCGUGAUCUCACGGUCAUGAGACCAAGCCCUGCACUGGGCUUCACACUCCGGGCACCCAUGCCCAUUCAGACUCGACACGAGACGUCCGUUGCUUCAACAGAAGCUUGUUAAGAAGUCAGGUUCCAGCUUAUGAAUAUUAGCUGACAAGUGAGAAAGCUCUGUGGGCCAGGGAAGGAAGAGAAAAGACGCGGUGUCCUGUCUCCCUCCCCGACCACAUACACCCACCUGGCCACAGUGGGACCCCAGAUGGGCUGACCCUUCCCACAGAGUCCUGGGUGCACAUGGGGUGCAGCCCCUGCACCAGACUCUGUCCUAGACCCACCACGACCCAGUUCUUCCCAGCCUCUUGCUGUUCCAAUGCAGAAUCAGCAUCCGCAGAAGUAGGUGGACCAGAAGGAACCUUUUAUGGUUUUACUGACGGAUUAAUGAUGCGAAGUUUGGGGUUACUAGGGGUGCAGGGGUGCUCAGUGCCCUGGAACGGUGCCCUUGGUGCACUGCUGUGACCCUCACCUCAUAAACAAAACAUUCGGAAGGUUGACUGGUGAAGCCCGGCGACUUCCUAGCUGCAGUGGGGCACGUCCCACGGAACCAGCGCGUGACACAGGGCGGCGGCAAAGAGCAGACAGGCCCCACCGGGAAGACAGAUCAUGGAGCCCUAGGGAGAGACUUUCACAUGAAGCCCCUCCGAGGGCAGCAGCGGCCCUGGGUCAGGAGUCGGGAGCAAGAGAGGCAAACGCCCAGGCUCUGGGCUCAUAGUAGAAAGGACAUCAGUCCACGGCAGGGAAGACACGAAGGAGGGACCACGCGAGUCCCUCAGCCACACUCUGGGCUCCACACCAGACGCCCUCGGGUGAGUGUCCAACUUCACGUUCUUGUUCACAAGGACAACACCCCUGAGGAGCUGAGAAGGCAGGAGCCCCAGGAAGGCGUCAGGGAGCGGGAGGGCACCCCGGGCCCUUCUGAAAAGGGGGGCGCCUGGCCAGCUCAGGCGGUGGAGUGUGUGGCCAGACCUCGGGGUUGUGCGUUCAAGCCCCACGUGGGGUGUCGUGGUGACUUCAGAUCUUUUAAAAACAGGAAGAAGAAAAUACUGGAAAGCAAGACGCUUCCCAGGUGGCUGAAAAACAAGGGAACGAACAGGCCCGUAGCUGUGGAAACACCAGGCUCAGAUGAGAAUUUACCUUCUUCACACUCCCCGAGACCAAACACUCCAGUCCCUUCAUCAUCUGCCAGCAGCUGGGCUCCGGCGAGAAGGCGUCGGCACCCGGCCGGCGGCGAUAGCCGCAGGGAGACAGCACACCCAGAACCUGACUGCGCAGAAUCCACUGAGGAGACGAUGUGAGGACACCCAGUUCCCGCUUGGGGGGACUUCUGGGUGUCCCACACACCUGCCCCUCCUCCUGGCACCUCUCCCUGCUGGCAUGAGCGCCUCUCCGGCACCCCGACCUCCUGACCUCACUGCCCCAUGAGCGGCUCCCGGCUGCAGGACUCCCCUACAUGCUGGUGACCCCCUAGGGUGCAUUUCCAGCCUCGACUUACCCUGACCUUCCGCUGCCCACCCACCCCCACCCCAGGGUGCUUCACAGCCAACUUGGCCUCCACUUGCCCAAACCCAGCCCCAUGGGCCUUCUGUGAGCCCCAUCUGUCUCCCCACAAUGCCACACUCACAGCUCAGACCCCAGCUGGGGCAGAAGCUGGGGUGUCCUGCUCAGCUCACUGGGAACCCCUGCACCCCUCGAGCAGCCCCGCUGCGGCCCUCAGAGAAAUGCUGGUGGAGGCCCGCUCUGCCCACCGGUGCAUGUCUUCAAGUGGGCACCAAGGUCCUCCCGUGUCCUGUCUGCUGCUCCCCUGCCUCCUCUCAGGGCUCAGCCACACUGCUGCCCCAGGGCCUUGGCACUCACUUUUCUCUCCAGGUGUCUACAAGGCCUGCCCAGCCGCGACAGUUCCUGCUCUUGCCCGAUUCUCUCUAGUGCUUCCUUCGUCCAGGCUGGCUGCCAGGUCCCUCUGCCAGGACAGAAGCUCCACGAGGGUGGAGUGAACCCCCAAAGCAGCUCGGCCUCGGCCACAGCAGCUACACUCAGGUGUCUGUGAAGCUCGUCAGUGAGGUCGGGGAUGAGGGCCACGGUCUCGCUCGCCUCACCUCAACCUGGGAGACCCAGGGAACAAAAGUCCCAGCAAUGGGACCAUGGAAGGUUCAUGAAGGGAACAGAGCUCAGGCGGGGAGGAGUAGAUGGUUGGGAACAAAGCUGACUGCACUUCUCUACGCUCCUGACCCUGGAAUGAUUUAAACAGACACCAUUUACAACAGUGUCAAAGGACGAAGGACCAGGGACCGGACGUUCCCAGAGAGCUGGCCUCUGGGGUGAGAGUCAACACCCGGUGGAAAGGCAUCUGCUGUCCAGUGGUCUGUCUGCCCUUGCCCUGGUUUGGGCAGGGAGCCUCCGAGUCCUUGGAACUCCCCACAGGGUGCAGAGGGGGACUUUGUUGUUCACAGGAGCCCGUGCCACGCUGGGGUCAACACAAGGGGGACACGGCACAUACGGCCAGCAGUCCCAGGGACGACGCAGUGACACCGCACAGCACGACGCAGGCUGAGAUGUGCCAGCAGGGUGACGCAGUGUGUCCCACAGAGAGGGCGCAGCUUAGCACUCCGGGCCCCCCAGGCCUCGCCCUGGGGCCCUGCUCUUACCCUUUAUAAUCAAACUACAAAAUCCCAAGGGCAGCACGUCUCAGAGUUCUAGGAGCCAUCUGGUGAGUUACUGAGCCAGAGGGGUCCACAGUGGCCGCACAGACCCUCCAGCGUGGACGGGUGUGGCUGAGCAGCACACCGCCGCCCCAGGGGAGCCCACGCAGUCUUGCUGGGGACCGAGCCCUCAGAGGCAGGGCCACGCGGACAUGGGCGCUCAGCGUCAGAGUUGGGUUUUAGCAACAGGGAGAGCAGCACAGACCCUAAUGCUGGACAAGCGGCGUGUUUCAAACUUGAAAUUUGCAACACCAGCCCAGAAAUCCCGCGCGUCACGGUAUCACGCCUGUUCCGACCCCAGCCGUAAACAUUCUCAUGUUCAUACCUCAGGGCAAACGGCCAAGACUCUGCCGAAGGACAAAGUUGGGCUGUGUCCCUUCUUGGAGAUGAAGAAUUAUCCUAAAGCCGUAGGAAUGCGGCCUGUGGGCCCACAGGACAGGUCUGCAGCAGGGCUGGCGGUGCGCACGAGGAGGGACAGACACCCGGGGACACACCGCUGGCCCCCAGCAUGAACAGCAUUUUCACAGGAACCACAGACGUGAGGGUCCAAAGGAAGCGCAGAGCUACUGGACGGACUUACGAGAAGGCAGCAGAGGAGGGAAAGGUCAACGGGUAACGCGCACGUGACCGCAGUAAGGAUUUCUUCAGUGAGACGCCAGCAUAUGAAGCCAGCAGCCAAAGGGAAGGACUGCCAACAUGCAUGAUGGGAAACCAAGGCCUCGUGUGACUAGUGAGGAGCAAAGCCCAGGAGAAAAGUGGGGAGCCCCCCCCCACCCCGGGCGAAGCGGCGGUCCGGGGGAGGAAACCUGAGUGGCCAGCAACGCGCGCGGAACAGGAUCCAAUCUCCCCCUGCGGCAGUGGGCCAGCCCCACGGCGGGUGGCACAUGGAUGCGGUGGACGUGGCUCUCACUUGCAGGUAGGCCAGAAUGUUCUCCCGCUCUCCACGGCCAGCAUGCAGCGCCGGCACGAGAGCAUUUCAGAGCCGCACGUCGCAGACCCACAACCUCAGCCACGUGUCUGGCUCCAUAGCAGGCCCACCGCGGCCCCAGAGCCCAUGGGGCAGCCCGGCAGGAACCCCCUCACCAAGGGCAGCACGUGCAAAGGGCAACAGCUACUAUUCGGGGCCCGUGGCCCAGAGAGGCUGGGUGAUGGGGCAUGUCUUUCUCUUCAUGUAUUUUACAAAUAUUUGUGUGCUCUUGGACAUUUCCAUGUGCACUUGGGAGCACAGGACUAAGAGCAGGGGGACCGUGGGGGAAUGCCAGCAGGAAAGGGAGAACACACACACCACAGGACACCGCAGGCCCCAGGGGUGGGGGCUGCCAACACCACAAAGCAUGCUGGGGGGCAUGGGCCCCUCCGCCACAGCUCUACCCCGCAUGCGCGCAGUCUCCAGGGUGGACGGGUGCGGCCAAGCAGCACGGCAACGAACACAGAGACACCUAGGCUAUUUCCAGAGCCGUACAACAAGACAUCUAGAAGGUCCCGUGCAAACCCCGUUCCGUGACAGCCCCAGGGGUGCGGGGGGGCUGCAGGUCACAGGGAGCUCUGGCUCCAUCUAGAGGUCAUCCUCUCUGGACAAGGACUCCGUGCUUCCCAGCCGUGCAGCACCGUGGCCCAGACAGGCAGCUCCACACCCGCCCAGAACCUCGACACAUGACCUCAGCGGCCUGAGGCCACCUAGGGAGAGUGGUGACCGACAACCUCGGCUGGAGAAGUGCUACCUGGAAGCCGUCCCGCAUCUGCAGGGAGCACCAUCCCGGCAGGAGAGGAGAGCGCGAGCGGAGCCCCAGGCACCGUUCUUCCCCACAGAUGGAAGUCAAAGGACCAACGUCCAGAACAGAGGAAGACCUCCAGAUGCAGAAAUGGGCCAGCUGGGAACAGCCCUUCCUGCCCCCAUCGUGCCCUGGGUCUGGCCGCACCACUUGGUCCUCCCACCCACACCGGCGGCCAGAGAGAACAGAGUCUCCAAGCCGAGCAUCCAGGAAUACGCUUUCAACUUCUCUUAUAAAUAUGCAUUAGAACAUCUGGUAACAAGCAAAGGGCUCCGAAAUUAAUUUAAAAUUAAACCAAGACUGGAUUUCCUACACUCCUGGUAGGAAAUUUAUCUAAAACAUCCGAACACCCACGUGCUUGAGGGUAGCGGGCACGGGCCCCCCAGGCCCGCAGCCGCCUCAGUCCCGGGGCACCUUGAAAUGGUCCUUCUCUUUGCGGAUGGCCCUCAUAGUGGUCACGGGGUCCGUCUCGCCCGCGUGCUGCUGCACGGUCUUCUCCCUGCGGGAGCCGAACACCAGACUGCAGGCUGCGCACCGUGCCCACUGCCCUCCCAGGGCGCCGGGGACAAAAAGAGCCAGAAGUUGGGACGUUCUUAAAAAAUGGAAUGCCACAGCCCACAGCCAGCUUGUGCGCUCCUAACUGCAGAACCCAUGCGGCCAAGCCAUCCUGCUGGUGACCCGGAGAGCAGGGACGCCGACUUCCCACUGGCAUCCAGCACGGCCCAGGUGGCAGCUCCCCGAGAUCCCCAGGGACUGUACCUCAGCUGCCUAUGGAUCCGAACUCCAGGGUCAGAAAGGACCCCAAAGCCUGGCCAGGGCACAAGGAAAGCACCCCCCCCCUUCUGAGAAAAGGUGCCUGUCCCCUAGGCGAGGCAGUACGUGACAGAGGUCGGGGCAGCCUCCAGCACUUGGGGCCUGCAGGGGUGCUGGGAGCAGACACCUGGGCUGUGCGCGGCGGCAGAGCCGACAUCCCCGAGGGCCCGCUCACCUCACUCGCAUGAACGGGUUGUAGGUGAGCUCCUCCGCGAUGGUGGAUGGCACCGUGGGCUCCCCAAUGCUGUACUUCUCCUGCGGACGACACAGCUCACUUUGACACAGAAACUUCUAAAGGUAACAUUUCUAAGUACCUUCUCACGAUCUUCAAAUGCCGUCCAACUCAGAGGGCAGAGUGAAAGCUGGCUCAGUGUGAGGACAGGCUCCUUCCUGCUGUGCGGACCCAAGUGCCCUGGCCGCCGCCACCAGCAAGCUGUCCCUCCUCCCCUCGCCGUCCCGAAGGUGAAGGGGGGAUGCCAAACCUUUCGUCAAUAGGAAGUCCGUGUUUUACAGUAUAGAAUAACCAGCAAAAACACAGACAACGCAGAAAAGAAGAAAACACCCAAGUGCCCCGCGUCCCUGCCCCGGGAUAAGCACCCCCCCCCCGGGAGGUGCUCAUCCCAUCACAGGGUGUUCAGGCAGGACUAUGCCCUUCACGGGCUCCCGAGAAUGACCCAGGAAGAGCCUUUCGGCAGGCAGCUUGGCAAUUGUAAAAACAAGGCAAAAAUUGUUCUUUAAAAAGAUCAACAAAAUUCGUAAGAAUGAUGAAGGAACCCAAAUCGCCAACAGCAGUCUAUCACUACGGAUCUAACAGCCGGGGGUGGGGACAUACUGCUCUAAAAGGAAAAGCUAAACAAAGGAAACUUAACAAAGGAAACAAAGGAGAAAAAUUUUGAUCCUCCUGAAAAGCAAGUAUUUCUUAGGUAAGAGACAAGAAGUACGAACCAUAAAAAAGUUAACAUGCUGGACUUUAUCAAAAUUAAAAAUGCUUACUCUUCAAAAAACAUUGUUGAGAAAAUAAAAAGCAAGCCAUAGAAUGGGAGAGACUACGUGACAAACUUACAAAAAAAAAAAAAAAAAAACAAAGAGAGAGAGAAACAUCCUCUUAACAAAAAUAAGACGAUGCAAUUUCUUAAAUGGCCAAAUGGAAGCCUCGUGACCUACCACGGAGCAGGGUUAUCUGCAGCCCUGCAGAGCAGACGCGUGAUGGGAAUGUUCUCUUUCUUUUUUUAAAAGAUUUUAUUUAUUUAUUUGACAGAGAGAGAGACAGCCAGCGAGAGAGGGAACACAAGCAGGGGGAGUGGGAGAGGAAGAAGCAGGCUCAUAGCGGAGGAGCCUGAUGUGGGGCUCGAUCCCAUAACGCCAGGAUCACGCCCUGAGCCUAAGGCAGACGCUUAACGACUGCGCCACCCAGGUGCCCCAGGGAACAUUCUCUGUCUUAACUGUGACGGGGGGGUGUGUAUCUCCCAAAAUUCACUCAGUCGUUCACUUUAACGUUUGUUACAUGUGAGCUAAACCACAACAAAGUUGGUAUUUUUUUAAAAAUAUGAAAAUUAUGUCAAUAAAUUUGAAAACCUUGACAAAAUGGGCAAAUUCCUUGAAAGACACAAGUGGCUCACAAGUGAUCAAGAAGAUGUAAAAAUCUAAUGGCCACACAUGCAGACACACAUUCGUAACAACAAAGAUUUUUCCACAAAAAGCAUUCAGUGUCCAGGUGGCUUCACUGGUGAAUUCUAACAUUAAACAAAUAAAUAAUAUCAGAAAAAAACCCUUCUGGAAAAUAGCAGUAAACACUUUCCAUUCAUUCUAUGCGGCCAGCAUCACCCUGAUACGAAGACCAAACGCACUGCAAGAAAAUAAAACUGCAGACCACGAUCUCCUGUGAACACAGAAGACACUACAGCAACGUAACGCAGCACGACCAAGGUCUGUCUGGAAAGCAAGGCUGGUUUAACGUUGGAGACCAGCUGAUACGCUCCAGCAUAUUAACAGAGUAAAGGAAAAAACUUACUUAUGUAACAGAUGAAGAAAAGAACCAGUUCACACAACUCAGCACCCACUCAUGAUAAAAACUCUCCGAAAACCAGGAAUAUAAGUCAACUCCAUCAGCCUAAGAGGAUUUACAAAAAGCCCACAGCUAAUAUCAUUCCUCGUGAUUAAAGACCAAAUGCUUUCCCUGAGAUUGGGAACGAGGCAAAGGUGUCCGCUCUCACCACUGACAUUAACGUUGUCCUGGGGAUCUUAGCCAGUGCAGCGGGACAAAACAAGUAAACAAAAGGCAUGCAGAUUGCAAAAGAAGGAAUAAAACUGUCUCUAUUUGUUGAUGAAGUGGAUGUGUGCUAAGGAAUCUAAGGAAAAGAUGCUAGAACGAGGGAGGUGAGCAAGGUCACAAGAUCAAAAUGCAAAAAUCACUUGUUUUUCUAAAGACUUUAGCAAAUAAUCAUUUCCAAUAAAAUCCAAAAACGUGAAGUUCUUAGGGAUACAUUCGACAAUGUGCACGAUUUCUGUAACAAUGAAAAUCACAACAUAUUGCUGAGAAAAACUAAUGACCUCAAUCAAUGGAAAGCUAAAGCAGGUUCGUGGAAAGACUCAGCGUUGUUAAGACCUCAGUUCUCACAAAUCUUUUGUUACAACACAGUCCCAAUCCAAAGCCAAGCUGACUUUUUGGGUAAAAAUUAACCAGAUAAUCCUAAAAUUUGUGUGGAAAUGCAAAGCACUUAGAAGAGCCAAAGCCAGUUUUAAGAAAGUCUAAAGCUAGGGGACGUACACAGCCUGACUCCUAGACUCACCAGAAGCUACAGCAAUCAAGGCUGUCUGCUACCGGCGGGGGGGACGUCCAACGGAUCAGCAGCGCCGAGAGGAGAGGCCAGAAGUGACUCGUGCCUAUACUGUCUGUUUUAUUGAGCGAAAAUGCCAAGGUAACCCGGCGAGGAAAAGACCGUGUUUCCAACAAAUGGUGUUAAGCACCUGGAUGUGAAUAUGCAAAAAAAAAAAAAAAAAUGGCCCUUCUACCCUUACCUUAGACCAUACACAACUGGACCACAGACCUACAUACAAAUUUGUAUAAACAUAAAAACUAAGACCAUUAACUUUCAGGAGAAAACACAGCAGAGUCUCUUUGACAAGGGGCGUGCAAAGAUUUCUUAAGACACGAAGUGUCAAAGAAAAUACUAAUAAACAGAUCUUCAUGAAAGGUAUGAACUUGUAUUCUUAAAAAGAUACUGUUAAGGGGAGAAAAUGGCAAGCCAUAACAACAGAGAAGACAUCUCAGGUACGUUUCUGACAAAGACUUGUUUCCGGAAUAUAUAAGGAAUUCCUGCAACUAAGACAACCCCAUUUUUUAAAUGGACAGAAGAUGCGAACACACGCUUUGCACAAGAGGGCCCGUAAGAGGCCAGUGAGCCCAGGAGAGACGCUCGGUUUCUUUACCCUCAGAGACGGGAAUUUUAAACCCACAAGGAGACGCCAGCGCACGCCCCCCAGACUGGCUCCCGUUCACGUCAGCACCGUGAGGAGCAUUCCUGGAGCGAACGCCAGGUGGUGCAACCAACGGGGAGGCGGUCUGGUAGCUUCUUAGAAGGGAAGCCCACGCGAACCACACCUCCCCCCGGGGUCCGCACCCACAGCAGCGAAAACCCGUGUCCACGCCGAGGCGCACGCAGGUUCGCAGCCGCUCUGCCCACAGGAGCAGAAAGCUGGACGCCGCCCGGACACCGCAUGGACACGGAGCGCGAAGGGAUCUCACGGGCACGUGCUGCCAGAAUCCAUCAAACUGCAUUUUCCUCACUCAAAACAGGUACGUUUGAUUGGAUGAACAUCAUCUUCCAUAAAGUUUAGUUUUUUAAAGCAGGUAACUACGCACACAAUUAGUUUGGUGCGUAUAGAGUGCUAUGGAAAGGGCACUAGGACCCGUUAUUAAAUGAGAAAGAAGCCACGGAACAAUACGUAAAGCAGAUACACAGGGCGAGUCCUGUGAGGUCACGAAGAAUCCUCUGUGCGCGCCGCCAACAAAGGAGUCACGUUCGCCAGCUGACGCAGGUGGCUGAAUUCUAACAAGUCUUGUUUUGUCAGCCCAUGGCCCAGAUCGAUAAAGAUGCUCGACCAAAACAGGUGAUUUAUUAAAAAACAGAACUGCGAGGCGGCACUCUUCCCUGAACGGGCCGGAAGGCCCCGCACGUGAGGCCUCCCAGCCGUGUGUCUUCCUGACACCCUCUCUCGGGGACUGAGGGGAAGACAGACCCCCCGCAUCCAGGAGCACGUCCCUCAGCCCAGCCACCUGCAGCAGCACUUCCAGACCUCGCCACCGACGAUGCCUCCAGGACAAGAAGCCAGCCCUGCAACCAAACCUCUGAGCACCGGGGUCAUCACAGAAAUAAAUGCCUUUCAGACAAGCA